rfam:Ovis aries breed Texel chromosome 3, whole genome shotgun sequence.
UGGCUCAGAGGUUAAAGCGUCUGCCUGGAAUGUGGGAGACCCAGGUUCGAUCCCUGG